GAUGAACGCUAGCUACAGGCUUAACACAUGCAAGUCGAGGGGAAACGACAUCCAAAGCUUGGUUUUGAUGGGCGUCGACCGGCGCACGGGUGAGUAACGCGUAUCCAACCUGCACACCACUUGGGGAUAACCUGGAGAAAGUAAGAAUAAUACCCAAUGACGUCUCUAGAAGACAUCGGAAAGAGAUUAAAGAUUUAUUGGUGAUGGAUGGGGAUGCGUCUGAUUCGCUUGUUGGCGGGGUAACGGGCCACAAAGGCGACGAUCAGUAGGGGUUCGGAGAGGAAGGGCCCCCACAUUGGAACUGAGACACAGUACAAACUCCUACGGGAGGCAGCAGGGGAGAAUAUUGGUAUAUGGACGGGAGUCUGAGCCAGGCAAGUAGCGUGCAAGAUGACGGCCCGAGGGGUUGUAAACUGCUUUUAUAAGUGAAUAGAGGGAGUCUCGUGUUACUUUUUGCAUGUACCUUAUGAAUAAGGACCGGCUAAUUCCGUGCCAGCCGCCGCGGUAA
rnacentral:rRNA from 1 species